GGGGCCGAUUAGGAUUCGACGCCGGUAGCGAAACUCUAGGUGCAUGCCGAGUUGGUAACAGAACUCGUAAAUCCACUGUUGCAACUUUCUAUAGUUGCCAAUGACGAAAACUUCGAGGCGGAGUACGCUCUCGCUGCGUAAGCAGCCGAGCCCGACCUUCUGGUAGCUUCGGCUCCAGCAAUCAUCAGGGGAUGCCUGUAAACCCGAAAUGAUUGUCAUACAGAACAGGAUCGUCGUGUAGCACGUUGGGGGCAAAGCGACUAAAACUUACCCAACUCGUCCAAAGCACCCUGCCCGUCGGGCGGCUGCGGAUUAACUCANACGAGGGCUACGCUCUCGCUGCGUAAGCAGCUGAGCCCGCUCUCCUGGUAGCUUCGGCUCCAGCAAUCACCAGGGGAUGCCUGUAAACCCGAAGUGAUUGUCAUACAGAACAGGAUCGUCGUGCAGCACGUUGGGGGCGAAGCGACUAAAACUUACCCAACUCGUCCAAAGCACCCUGCCCGUCGGGCGGCUGCGGAUUAACUCAGUAGACACNCCCGUCGGGCGGCUGCGGAUUAACUCAGUAGACACGGCUAAGCAUGUAGUACCGACAGCGGAGUACUGGCGGACGGGGGUUCAAAUCCCCCCGGCUCCACCA
rnacentral:tmRNA from 1 species